GGCGCGGUAGCUCAGUCGGAUAGAGCAACCACACGUGGUCGACGCAGGUUCGAGUCCUGCUCGCGCCG
rnacentral:tRNA from 1 species